rnacentral:lncRNA from 1 species
CAAUGAAGCAACAUGAGUUGUAAGAGAGAGGUAUAAAUAAGAUUCAUAAUGUUUGAGUUUUGGUGCAGUCAAUAAUGGAGAAAUCGAACGUGAUAUUGAGAUGCAUUAUUACUUUGAUCAUUGGCGUCGAUGAGGCCAUCUGAGAGGAGACAUAAACCAUGUUAUUUAAUCCCUCCCCUUUUUUUCUCUCAAGUCAAACGAUUAGUAUAUUGCAUGGUGUCAAUCAACCUUAUGCAUGCAUGCACGUACUUACGGAAAGCUUCCCUUUUGAUUCGUUAAUGAAGAUUAGUGUUAGCUUAUUCCAACAAUACACUAACAUCGAAUCGUAAAACAGAAAGAACCCUAGUUGCAUAGAAGACGGAGAAGAGAAGAAAUAAAAGAAGAGGAGAGGAAAGGAUAAAACAGAAAGAACCCUAGUUGCAUAGAAGACGGAGAAGAGAAGAAAUAAAGGAAGAGGAGAGGAAAGGAUAAAACAGAAAGAACCCUAGUUGCAUGGAAGGCUCCGCCGGCGGAGGAGCGGCAGCUGGAGUCGGGGGCAUGAAGGCGGAGAUGGAGAAGAGGCAUCGUAAUCCCGAUCGCAUCUAAAAUACAAUGCACACCUAUCAACACUCAAUUCCGUGAAAUACCUUGCUACAAGAAGCCUGAACUUUAGUGAAAAUUUUAUAGUUGAUAGCAACAUUCGGAUAGUUUACACCAAAUUCUGAAUACCCAACCAACAUGGGAAAACAUAAACAAACUAAAAAGAAGAAAAAUAAAAGUCUCAACUCACAAAAAGAUUUUAGAGAAGAAAAUUGGAGAAGAAAACAGCAACGAGUUAAUGAUAACUCAUAAUCUGAAAGCCUAUGUUGUCUGAGCAAAGACUGCGACCUAAACAAAAAAGAAGAGAAAAGUUGUAUACUGUUAUAGCAAGAUUUUAACAUUCAGGAUUGAGGAUUAGACAAUAAAAUUUAAGCUGAAUUGGUAGCAGUUUUUAUUUUUCAAAGUUGCCAAAGUUUAAACGUUUAGGGAUGCUAGAGCAACUGAUUAUGCUUAUAAAAUUAAGACGUCAUAGAGGACAAUCAUUGGACACACUGCAAAUGAUUACAAUCCAUUAAACAUGAAUUCAAUGAGGAAAAUUGGAUUGCUGUUUGAGAUGAGAAUUCACUAGGUACCAUUCCUGGAAUCUUAAAUUGCUGUUUGAGAUGGGAAUUCACAAAGUACAGUUACUGAGACUCUUGAAUUAAGAAUUAAACUCGAGCAAACAGAUGAUCACAAUGCAUUGUUGCCACAGUAUAUGCCAAUUAGCAUGGUCAACAUGAGAUCCAUAUUAACCAGGACAAGCCAGCAUUAGCAAAAGGGUUUGUCAGCACACCCUUCCCUUGGCACUCAAAGGGCCUCCAAGCUACGCAGUAGCUUAAGCACCGGAUCUGGGGCCUAACAACUAACCUGUUAUUGCUUGAUUACUACAAAUACAUUGCUAAAUGAUAAAAGAGGAUCAGGAUACUGAAACGUUUUGACAAAUGCAACAUAUCAAAAUGUAGUUUUCUUUUGAUAAAUCAUAUUUAGAAAUAUUUGUCUCUAAAGAAAUAGCAACAACCAUGGAUACAUUGGCUUAUUAAUCUAUCAAACCCUCUUUAUAAUGAAUAUGUUUUACAUAACAUUGAUCAUAUGUCUCGUAUACAUGUCCACACGACACCCCGAUUAUCUGAUGGCAUACUAUUUCAUGAUGCCAUUCGAGUUUUAAAAACAAUAUUGAUGAUAAUCCAUGAAACCCAAAAAAAUGAACAUGUAAAUGAGUUAUUUAAGAUAUAUCUGUAAUCAUUCUAAACAGAGAGUAUUGUUGUAAAUGAGACGAUUCAAUAAAAAAAAUACUUAAUCAACCAUCAUAUAAACAUUGCCUUAUCAGCAAGACAGCCCAUACCAUUCCCUAGUCCAACCUACAAUUUACCUCACCAUAGGGGGAUAUUGACAAGUACCAAUUCAGUAUGCCACCAAGAAAAAAGAAGAAAAAUUUGAGAAAAAGAAAUAGAUAUAUCUUCAUGAUGCAAUUCCAAUUGUCUAUUUUUUGUUCUUUCUUGAUGACCUAUUGCUUGGGAGGAGACUGUGCAGAUCAUGCCACUAGCAGGAUUUCACCAAGAAUCUGAUCAAAUAAGGGGAAUGUCAUCGCCAACAGAGCAACCAGGCUAGACUACUUCUGAUCUAGAAUGGGUGACAAGUGGGUGGUUCUACUUCUAGCAGGGAUCCUAUGCACCAUCUGUUGACAUCUUGUGAUGGAGGUCAAUAAGAGCGUAUUAGAAACAUCCAGGUUCAAAUGACACGGAUACCAUCAAAGGACACUACUAAUUCCACGGAAGGUGUUUAUAUAAGGUUAUAAACUACAUAAAGAUUUCACGGGACUACGAUUUCUUCUCUCACAAUUUUGUAACCUAGAGUCGAAAUUUUCCCCAUCUUCUUUCCCAUUAAAUCCAUGCUUCUAGCGUUCAUAUUUCACAUAUCAGUCCAAUAUGUCAACUAGAUAAUCUUACCAAAUGAAGUUGAUUUAGGGGUAGAGACAGGGGAGCGAUAACAAAACCGUUUCUAGAAAACCAUACGGAACCAAGAACACAUCAAUACUAGUUCUUACCCAAUCUGCAAACUCGUGAGAGGAAAGAAGCAGCGAUCCUCACGAGUUCCCAUCGCAAUUCUGCUGCAAAAAGAAAUUAUCCCUCUGUUAGGAGUAAUCAAAGCCAAAAAUUUAUCCCCAAAACACCAAAUCUGGCGUCAGGAUGAAGUUAAAAAGAAGAAGAAAACCGCUGAUCAGGUCAAAAUGCUUCCAUCGCUUACCACCACCGGUUCCACCGAACCUCAUCACCACC